AGAAAACGCCCUCUGGACUUUAACCAUCUUGAAUCUUUUGAAUAGGGCUGCAAGCUGGGACAUUUUGCCGAUGUGUGGCCUGCUUUCGUUUUGCAAAUAUUGCAGUUUGCACGACAAGCUACUCUUUCGGACUUUUUGAGAAGGGACCACAAUCCCUUUGUCCAGCUGCCUGUCGACUCUUUCUCAGGACCUAUGUUUUUCUUUUCUGAUUCAACUUCCAAGUAUGCAACCUCUGCUUCAUAAGAUCUGUGACGAAGAAACACCUUUGUUCCUGCAUAAUCAUAACGCUUAGGGCCCAUCCACCUGUACUUUUCGCUCUCAGUGAUUACAUCUCCAUAAAACCCAUACCUGAUAAGUAAGCGAAUGAUUACGAAGGAGGAGUAGAAUUUAACCUUAAGUUCACAAAGAAGCAUGCAUUGCACCCAAGGGUGUGACCUAGUGGUCAAUGCAGUGGGUGAGAACCAUGAAGUUUCACGUGGAAAUCUCAGCAGAGACAAAAAAUACUAGGUGUCCCAUCCGUCCUAAACUUGGCGGACAGAAAACUUGGUACCUGUUGCUGGUGGUAGGUA
rnacentral:misc_RNA from 1 species